UACAGAGGGUGCAAGCGUUGUUCGGAAUUAUUGGGCGUAAAGCGCGUGUAGGCGGCUUUGCAAGUCGGGUGUGAAAGCCCUCAGCUCAACUGAGGAGGUGCGCCCGAAACUGCAGAGCUUGAGUACCGGAGAGGGUGGCGGAAUUCCCCAAGUAGAGGUGAAAUUCGUAGAUAUGGGGAGGAACACCGGUGGCGAAGGCGGCCACCUGGACGGUUACUGACGCUGAGACGCGAAAGCGUGGGGAGCAAACAGG
rnacentral:rRNA from 1 species